UGACCGACGAUUCUAGAAAAAAAAAAAAGCAUAAGAUCCUGGAUAAUCAGACGAUUAAAAUAAAGGAUAAAAAUAACUAGUAUAUAAUAAUGAUUUGUUCUUAGAGGAAAUUGUAGCAGUGAUCGAGAAUUUUCCAUAAUAGAUUUUAUAUGGCGUUUCUAAUGCGGUAAAUAAAAAAGCUACGCACUGCACUAGAAAUCUACUUAUAGCUGUUGUUUCUACCGGGUUCUUAACAAUGCAUAACUUUCGGCGGAGUGCAGUGCCGAAAAAAAGACAUUUGUAACGACACGAGGUUAUCCCGUUUAACGACCGAAUCUAGUGUUUCAGAAUUCUGUGCGCGUUAUGUGGGACAUAGCGGAACUUCUUAUUGCCACCUUUAUAGGUAACUACAGGUUAUGUCCUGUUCCAUCGUUCGUUGCGCAUUAGCCAUAUCCUGAUUUAGGUCCAACGUAAGCUUGAAGGAUGUUAUAAUAAAUAAGAUAAAAAGAUCUGCCGAAUAUCCAAGAGAAACAAAGAGGACCACAAUACAUAUAUACAAAUUUGUUUGUCAGUUAAGUGACGCACCUUGACGUCGCUAAGCAUCACGCAUUGUGUGACCGUAAUUAAAUACAUGUCAGGAGCUGUUUAAGGAACUCUGACCAAUCUCGUAAUAUAAAACAAAAGAAAAACAAUCAAAUCCAGCACCAUCGAGAAUAUUCAGUUAAAAAUGAUUCUGAAGCAAAAACACAGUACGCUGGUAGUUCUUCCAAAUUGGUCCAGAUAACAUCUUAAAAUUCUACUGACUAAAGAAACGAAAGGAUACAUCAUGUACAUCCUUUCGCGUGCUGAGCAGAACGUCAAGCAC